rnacentral:pre_miRNA from 1 species
CCCUUAACUAUUAAAAGUUUCGUUUUGGUUCCUUAACUUAUUUUUUGGUUUCGUUUUGGUCCCUUAACUUAUUUUUUGGUUUCGUUUUGGUCCCUUAACUCUUCCUCCGUCAACCACUUUGGUCCUUUAUGCUAGGAUGAAUGUAUUAGAGUUAAGGGACCAAAACGAAACCAAAAAAUAAGUUAAGAAACCAAAACAAAACUUUUAAUAGUUAAGGGACCAAAACGAAACCAAAAAGUAAGUUAAGGGAACAAAACGAAACUUUUAAUAGUUAAGGGA